ensembl:snRNA U6 U6 spliceosomal RNA
GUAAACACUUCAGCAGCACAUAUGCUAAAAUGGGAAUGAUACAGAGAUUAGCAUGGUCUCUGGGCAAGGAUGACAUGCAAAUUCAUGAAGCAUUUCAUAUUUUU